rnacentral:lncRNA from 1 species
GGGAGUUUAAAGGAAAGAUUCGUCCCGCUAAAGACGUUAAAUCAAGCGCUUCUUGGGAGGCAACCCAAGCAUUCAACGAAGGGAGACUUUGGAAUCGCUAACCAAAUCAGAUUUGAAUUCUUACACCCUUAUCUUUACUGCUUUCAUUUUGUUUUGUUUAGUUAGUUGUGUUAUUUGGUUGAUUUCUGUGAGUUUGUGUUAUUUAGUUUAAGUGUGGGGGAAGGUUAACCAAAGUCUUUUUACAUUGAUUUACAUAUUUUACAUUGAUUUAAAAAAAAAAAAAAAAAAAAAAAAAAAAAAAAAAAAAAAACAAAAAAAACAAAAACACCUAAAAAAAAAAACAUUAAAGUAAAAAUAUUUUACAAUGAUGUGUAAACUAAUAGCAUU